UAGUUUAUUUAUAUUGAUUAGUUAGAUCCAAUUCUAGCUUCAAAAUUAUGCUAUAUUCAAAUCGAGAUUUGAUUAAGAAUGAUUGAUAUUCGGUUUUGAGUUAAAUUCAAUUUAAGAAUCUUGUGAAAGAAACAAUGACUUGGUUUAUUUGGUGGGCAAAGAUUAUGUUGCUGCAGCGAAGAAUAUGAGAAAUGAGAAAAAUAAAGG
rnacentral:lncRNA from 1 species